rnacentral:lncRNA from 1 species
GGGCUCUGCGGCCUGUGGCUGCAGAGGGACGCAAGAGCAUAAACUGAAAUCCCACAUCCCCGUGGAGGAACUUGGAGAUAAGAUGCAAAGCGCAGCAAAUAGGAGCCACUCUUUCAGAGAUGACAGACCACCUGGUUUCGAGGAGCAGCAGACAGCGUGAAUGAAUGAAGUUGGCCAGUUCUGUGUGUUGACUGGAAUCACCUGGGAAGUUUUAGUCCUGUGAUACCACCUGGAACCACAGACAGAGUGAGGACACAGCAAGAAGAUGAUCAUCUGCAAGCCAAGAAGAGGGGUCUCACCAGAAUCCUAUAAUGCUGGCACCCUGAUAUUUUACUUUCCACCUUCCAUAAAUGUGAGAAAUAAAU